rnacentral:rRNA from 1 species
CCUACGGGAGGCAGCAGUGGGGAAUCUUGCGCAAUGGGCGAAAGCCUGACGCAGCCAUGCCGCGUGAAUGAUGAAGGUCUUAGGAUUGUAAAAUUCUUUCACCGGGGACGAUAAUGACGGUACCCGGAGAAGAAGCCCCGGCUAACUUCGUGCCAGCAGCCGCGGUAAUACGAAGGGGGCUAGCGUUGCUCGGAAUUACUGGGCGUAAAGGGAGCGUAGGCGGAUAGUUUAGUCAGAGGUGAAAGCCCAGGGCUCAACCUUGGAAUUGCCUUUGAUACUGGCUAUCUUGAGUACGGAAGAGGUAUGUGGAACUCCGAGUGUAGAGGUGAAAUUCGUAGAUAUUCGGAAGAACACCAGUGGCGAAGGCGACAUACUGGUCCGUUACUGACGCUGAGGCUCGAAAGCGUGGGGAGCAAACAGGAUUAGAUACCCUGGUAGUCCACGCUGUAAACGAUGAGUGCUAGUUGUCGGCAUGCAUGCAUGUCGGUGACGCAGCUACGCAUAAGACACUCCGCCGUCGGGAGGUACGGUCGCGAGAUUAAACUUAAAUAGAGUAGACGCGNGAGACGNGCGAGACGACGACGAGGGAGAG